AAUCUUUUAGCUCAAUGGUUGCGCGUUGGCUAUGUGAGCCACAGGUCGGUGGCUCGAACCCACCAGGGAACA
rnacentral:tRNA from 1 species